UCCAGAGAGAUGGAGGAAGUCAGUAUAAAAGGUAGGGUUAAUGGGCAUUUGCUGAGCAAGCAAACACAGGAAGAUCAAGUGUCCCCUGGAGUUCCUCUGAGCACUUCACCGGGGAUCCUUGGUUUUCCGAUUCCUACUGAAGUGUUUGGGAAACUCCCGGUGUCAUUUGAUGACCUACAAUACUACCCAGCUUCUGACACGGUUGAUGGUUCUGGACAGGAAAAUUGUUGAUCUGGGAGCAGAUAAAUCCAAGUAAAUGAGCAGAAGUUGAAGCUGGUUAAUUGGCUGAGCAGGGAAGAUGAUGAAAAAGAUCAGAAAGGGUAAGUGGCUGAUUGUUUUAAACUUUUGUCAGGGAUAUCGAAGCUAGCUAUUACACAGAUGCUGAUGCUACGGAACAUGCCAUCAACUUGUGGACCGACCACCUCUUUAAAUGUGAAAGCAAGACAUGAGUUGAUGGAGGUGAAGCUCCAGAUGUGCUCACCAGGUGAAGGCCACUGCUAGCAUCUGCAUCACGUGGGAAGCCCUUUUACUCAUAUUGUAUACUAGAUUCGUGUGUAGGAAGCUCUAUGGAACAUAUUUGGUUCUCAAAAAGAACAAAUGCAAAGGAAAAAAAAAACUAAGAAAAGUGGUUUUCUUUCAAUUUGAA